CCAGAAUCCACUCUGGCUGGAAUCCGGUGGAUACAGCAGUAUUUACAGUUUGCCAGAACAGUUCUCCACAGUCACUGUCCAUGUGGGUCAGUGGGACCAAGAAGUACUCUGACCAGCAACAUCCAGCAAGACCCAGACAACGUUUUCUAUCUCCCAGCUGGAGUUUUUUGUUUGUCUGUGACCGGAGAGUCAGAUUUUUGUCGAGGCUGGAGGAACAGCCUCACACUUGCAGAGGUUAAUACACGCUACUGAUCCCUGAUGGGAGAAUCAUCACCUCUGCCAACAAAGAAGCCUGGUGGAUGAUUGUUUACAGUCUGAUGAUGGGACAUCAUGCUCUGCAUCUUCAAAGAGUGUUUCUGAGUGAGGGAGAGAGGAGUCAUCAACCAGCUUCAAAGAAAACAUCCAGAUGGGCAGGAUAUCACUAUUGGACUGUCUAACCUGCCAGAGCAGCAUUGAGUGACCACCACACAUGAGCAUGUUCCUGCAACAUUCAGCAUCUGAUCCUUCAUCUGUGUGCUUCUGCUUUUGGUAAGUAGAGUUACCUAACUACAGUAAUUCUAAACAUAUGCCAUCCAUUUCUAACGGCCUGGUUACUUCCUGUCAGUUAUUUUAGGAACACUGUUUCUUCUUGUUCCCCUUAAUGUUGAAGUGUCAAAUGUCAAAAACGUUUCAUUGUGACAUCACCAAAGACAGCCCCGCCCACCUAAGGACCUCGCCGUGGUCAUGAUGAUUAUAAUGAUGACAGUAAGCGGAAAUAAGACUGUAAAAAUCCACGACCAGAAUGUUUAGAUGCUUUCUAAUUAUUAAUGAAUACUGAGAGCCUCUUUCUGUAUUUUGU